GAAAGCAAUCUGAACUCAGAUACACUGGCCAGGUAGACAGGAAAAGCCGCGAAUCUUUUGAAUUUCCAUUGCGCUGAUAUUGCCCAGCGUGGACUGCACAGGUCACCAUGCAGAGCUCA